CUUAUUUAUUUGUUUUGAGAGGAUCUAAAGGAGGCAACUUUCAGAAGGAAAUGGAGGAAGUAGAGAUCCAAGCUAUCCAACCAGGUUCUCAUAUUGUGCUACAAGGACGACAUGAUGCUUUUUCCCAAGUGCGAGGACGAGAUAAAGGUGGUCGUGUUCGCCGUCUAGGCAAUGGUAUAAAGCCAAAGAAAUAUUGGGGUGAAGAAUCAUCCACCAAUCCUCCACUGACCCAAAUGCUGAAGUUUUGAACCUUAGACAACAAUUGGAGAGUUCUGUUGCACAACUUCAAGCAGCAAUUCUACGGAUAACUGAACUGGAGACCCUUGUUGCGCACCUUGGACUGGGAACUGCUAACAUUGUUACCCCAUCGACUGAGGCAGAGCCUAGCAACAGUACAUGAAUGGAAGAUGUUGGUGCACAUAGAUGCUUGACUGAUAUACUACUAAUAUAUAACUCUAGCGACUCAGGUGCUUGUUUUUUUUGAAUACAAGGGAAUGUGAUCUCUCUUUUUUUGUGUUCAUGCCAUCAGGUGUGUUCGUAUCACGUCCCAAACUUUCCACAGGCAUUUUGAAUGUUGAUAAUCUUAGUUGCCAUCUUUUUGAACUCUAUGGAUGUUGUUUUUUUGCGCAGGUUCAGUCAAACAUCUUACUGUUGUUUCUAUGGUGCAUCAAUGUAAAUGUAAAACUUAAUGUUGUUUCAAUGAAACAUCUUACUGUUGUUUCUGUAGUGCGUCAAUGUAAAACGUGAAACUUAAUGUUGUUUCUAUUUUGCAAUGGAAAGUUAUCCAGCAGUGUGAAUUUUGAA